rnacentral:rRNA from 1 species
AAUCAACGCUGGCGGCAGGCUUAACACAUGCAAGUCGAGCGGAGAUGAGGUGCUUGCACCUUAUCUUAGCGGCGGACGGGUGAGUAAUGCUUAGGAAUCUGCCUAUUAGUGGGGGACAACAUUCCGAAAGGAAUGCUAAUACCGCAUACGUCCUACGGGAGAAAGCAGGGGAUCUUCGGACCUUGCGCUAAUAGAUGAGCCUAAGUCGGAUUAGCUAGUUGGUGGGGUAAAGGCCUACCAAGGCGACGAUCUGUAGCGGGUCUGAGAGGAUGAUCAGCCGGACUGGGACUGAGACACGGCCCAGACUCCUACGGGAGGCAGCAGUGGGGAAUAUUGGACAAUGGGGGGAACCCUGAUCCAGCCAUGCAGCGUGUGUGAAGAAGGCCUUAUGGUUGUAAAGCACUUUAAGCGAGGAGGAGGCUACUGAGACUAAUACUCUUGGAUAGUGGACGUUACUCGCAGAAUAAGCACCGGCUAACUCUGUGCCAGCAGCCGCAGUAAGAC